rnacentral:tmRNA from 1 species
GGGGCCGUAAAGGUUUCGACAGGUUAGCAAAAGCUGACUCGUGAUACAGGUCGAGAGUGAGUAAUCUCUCGUUAAUCCAGACUCAAACUUAAAUAUAGAUGCAAACAACAUCGUAAAAUUUGAGCGUCAGGCAGUAGCUGCCUAAAUCUAACUUAGAUUUGCUCGUCCUUAGUUUGACUCCGUUAAGAGCUAAAGACAAAACCCCAACGGAUGCUUUUAUUGGUUUUCUCUGGUAGACCGAUAAAAAAAGACUUUACUAGAGAAUCCUACCAUCAGGGAUAAGUGGUGGUUCUCGCUCCAAGGAUUAGAGGAGCUAAACCUGUGAAUGAAUGGGCAAGUGAAUAGUUGGUCUGGACAGCAGUUCGACUCUGCUCGGCUCCA